UUAGAGAGAAGGAUAGGAACAGGAUGGAGCCAGUGAAGAAGAGGAAGAUUUCCCCUGUGUGGAAACAUUUUGAUUUGAUAACUCCUAAUAAGGUAGCAAACUGUGGCAUCAGUUUGACACCAGCGUCAUGGAGGCACAUAAGUCCAAAAAUGUUUCUGCCCAUGCCACUGUGCCAGAGCCUUUAGGAACUCUGGGCGAAUCUCAUCCACCCCCGGGGCCUUGCCAACAACGAGCUUUUUAACCACCUCGGUGACCUCAACCCCAGAGAUAGGAGAGCCCACCUCAGAGACGCCAGACUCUGCUUCCUCGUGGGAAGGCCUGUCAGUGGAAUUGAGGAGGUCUUCGAAGUAUUUUUCCCCACAGACUCACAACAUCCCGAGUCGAGGUCAGCAUUGUCGCAUCCCACUAUACACAGUGUUGAUGGUGCACUUCUUCCCACUCCUGAGACGCCGGAUGGUGGACCAGAAUUUUUUUGAAGCCGUCUGGAAGUCAUUCUCCAUGGCCUCACUGAACUCCUCCCACGAGUUUUUGCCUCAGCAACCACCAAAGCUGCAUUCCGCUUGGCCAGCCGGUCCCACAGACCAAAAAGGCCGAUAGGAUUUCUUCAGUUUGACGGCAUCCCUCACCGGUGGUGUCCAUCAACGGGUGGGUGGGUUGCCGCCACGACAGGCACCAACCACCUUAAGGCCACAGCUCUGGUCGGCCGCCUCAGCUAUGUAGGCGCGGAAAAUGGUCCACUUGGACUCAAUGUCCCUCCCCCCGUGGGUGUAGUUCUGCUGGAGGUAGGAGUUGAAAAUCCUUCUGACAGGGGAUUCUGCCAGACGUUCCCAGCAGACCUGCCAGGUCCGACCGGCAUCUUCCCCCACCAUCGGAGCCAACUCACCACCAGGUGGUGAUCAGUUGAGUGUCCAAGACAUGCGGCUGCAAGUCUGAUGACAUGACCACAAAGUCGAUCAUCGAACUGCGACCUAGGGUGUCCUGGUGCCAAGUGCACGUGUGGACACCGUUAUGCUAGGAUACUAGGAUCGUAAGCGUGCUGGAGCCUAUCCCAGCUAUCUGUGGGCGGGAGGUGGGUUACACCCUGAACUGGUCACCAGCCCAUCACAGAUUCUCAGAACAUGACUGUGAUAUUACCUUAUUGGUGCUCCAGGAUUGUUUAAUGAGGAUCGCUGUUCCACCUUCAUGUUUUACCAUAUUCUGUUGCACUGCGGUUGGGUCUGUAAACACUGUAGCCUGCCGGUGUUAUGGCUUCGUCGGAGGUCCUCGAUCCUAGCCACGUUUCACAGAAACAUAAAACGGAGCAAUCCUUAAUGUACCGCUGUGUAGCCCGCCGACUGAAGAGGUCAUCCAUGUUGUUGUUGGUCUCUUGAAAUAUCGUCUUUGGCUUUAACACCAAGCAAUGUUCUUUUAAGGCUCUAAAGUUAAAUGUAUCCCAAAACAUUUAAGUGUGUGACCAAUAAAUAUUUAGCAAACUGA